UUCAGGACAGAAUGGCUAAAGCAAUGGAAGAAUAUCCUGAAACUUGUGCAAUACUUGUUCGCCGACAUGGAGUUUAUGUUUGGAGUGACACAUGGGAAAAGGCCAAGACCAUGUGUGAAUGUUAUGAUUACUUGUUUGAUAUAGCAGUACAAAUGAAACAGUUUGGCUUAGAUCCCACAGCCAAACCAAAGGAAACUGAAUUUUAGAUAUAAGGACUGGAUUCCUGCUGUAAAAUUAGCAAAUGUAGAUUAUAAAGUUACUUUUUCCUGCUCUCAGCAAGGCUAUAUGAGGUCUAAUAAAAAAAAAUUGUUAUUGCAAGUGUAAGAACAUGUUAACUUAAGAUCUCCUAUUAAAUCAAAUGUACUUGAAAAUAUCCUGAAUGUGGCCUAGAUCUCCUUUUGUACCUGAAAUACCUCUGCCUAUGUUUCACAUUCAUGAAAGAAGGGAUUUUGCCAGUUUUUUUCCCACCACCUACUUUUGCCUGAUCUUAUUCCCAUACUAUCUUGAAUCUAUCUAAGCCCUUUUUAUAAUUUCAGGACAGGGUUUCUCAAGUAUGUUUCUUUCUCUCCUUCACUUUGUACAUCAUUCCCUGCUUCUGAUUUUUAUGUUUAUUGUGUCCUCUCCAGAUAUACAAGUCCAUAUAUGAUUAGUUUUUCCACAAUUUUGGUGCAUGCAUGCCUCAUCCUCCUUCCUUUGUUACCUCAUAUGACUAGGCAUAACUUUGCACUGUGCUACCUUUCUUCAGCUCCUAAACUUUGGAGUUCUUUUUUUUUUUUUUAGACUUGGGGGUCAGAUCCUCUGUCUUUUGUUUAUCUUUCUUAGGCUUAAUUUUUUCCACAUUUGUCUUACACUCUACCCUUUUACACUAUUUUUCCUGUAUUCACCUUCUUUCCAUGGUAAUCCACCAUUCCUCUGAGUGGUUUUUCAGUGGAUGCUUUUUCCCUUACUUUCUCUACAGUGGCAUGUUUAUCUUCCUUGGCCUUAUAAAUUCGUAUUUGGUUGAUCUGUUGCUAGAGUUUGUUGGAGUGAGAUGCCCUUGUUACUGAAGUGUUUUUGCCUCCACUUUAUCUCGUAUACCUUCACCUGGCUAUUGUCAUUUGCUAGUGUGAUUUUACUGGAGUGCUUGUUUCUCUGGAUUCACAUGCUGGAACUUCAUGCCAAUGUUUCUUCCUUAUCCUCACAAGUUUCAUAUUUCUCUCCUGCCCCUUCUUUACCUCUUUUUGUCUACUAUCUUCAUGCUUUCUCUUCUUUCCCUGUCCAUACUUCCUGUUCCUCUGUUCCCAUCCAUCCUCCCACCACUCUUAGACUUCUGUGCCAUCAAUCUUAGCAAUGACUAUCCUAUAGGCUUAGGGCCAAUUUAGUUCAGACUUAUGCCAUUCAUUUCCAGCCGAUUGUUUACUAGGUUUUCUGUCAAGAGCCUUACCCUUCGUUUUUUCAUUUACUCCUCCAUUGUCUUCUGUUCCCAUUAUUUUCCCUCCUCCAAGGGACCUUAUUUCUUGCCACCAUUGAUCCGUAGCAGUGUUGGGCUUAAUGACUGACAACUACAUCAGACAGGUUUCUCAUCCUUCUCCAGGAUUUUAUUCCUGUCUUUUUGUUGUUCCCUAGAAAUCAAUGGAUAAAUGUCCGAUUAUCGAUAUUUCACAUCUCUUUAGGUUUCUUAACCUUCCUUGAUUUACCAUGGAGACUUUUCUCACCCUAUGAUGGUAUUUUGUCCUAGGUUUUGGUAUGACCAAGGUGGUCAGGUGCUUAUUUUCUCAUUUGGCUCCAUUCCAACAAGCCUCCUAUAGAUGUCCUCUUCUCCUCUGUCAGCACAUUUGGGUUGGUUUGUCUACUUGAAAAAGUCUCAUCUCACAUUCAUUUGUGUAUUUCUAAAUUUGCAUCUCUACAGUGCUUAUCCUUCUCCUCUUUUGUUGGAGAGACAUGGAGCAAUUAGUUUCCCAUGCCCUAUCUUCUUCUCUCACUGUGUGGGAAGUUCUCUCUCUUUAGUGGACUUGGGCUUCCAUGGACUCCCUUAUCCAUUUAGGUUGUGCUCAUAUGCAUCAUCUUCAAUGGACUCUGCAUGAUCAGUGGAACCUUGCUCGGGAUUCGUUGUCCUCCACCAUUCACCUUUCACCUUCCUUGAUCAUUGACUUCCCCUGGUGCCUCAACAACAUCAAUACCACAAAAAGUGUCCUUCUUCCUCCAUCUCAUCAAGAUCUACAUCUAUUUGCAUAUGCUUCCUUGAUAGGGUAAGGGCAUAUCUUGAAUCCAAAGAGAUUUCGGGUCAUGGUCCCACAACAUAUUAUCCCUUCAUAUGAAUCUCUUACAACUUUUAGUGGUAAGUCAAGCUUUGUAUAAUUUUUUUUAUGGUUCAUGGAUGUCUAGUGAUGAUCCAUGCAGAUAGUUCUACAGUUUUCUCCUGUAUUAUUCACCAGGAAGGUACCCAGUCUUACUCUCUCUGUUUCCACACUCUUGACCUCUUUUUCUGGGCCCAUUCUUUACAAGUACGUCUUAUAUUCUAGGUUCACUGAUUCUUUUCACAGAUCAUCUUUGAAACCUGAAAAAAUACUACCUAUGGAAUGGUCCCUCAAUCCUCUGUUGUUCAAGUGGCUGUGCUUUCAUCUGGGCGUUCCUCUUCUAGAUGCUUUUGUCACUCAAUCUCCACACCAAACUUCACUUGUUCCUUAUCCCUCAGCUCUAACUGUGGAUGUUUUCAGUCAGGACUGGUCCAACCUUUUUCUAUAUUCCUACCCUCCUAUUCUUCUUUUCCCUCAUGUGCUUUCUCUCGAUCUGUAUUGGCUGGUGCAGCUAUAGUUUCCUUUACUGAUCUUUCUUCAGUCCUCUCUUCCUCUACCUCUGUCAUGCUCCCUACUUCUUCAACCUCACUCCUCCAUCUCCCAUCCAGCAGUGUCGUCAAUCCGACUUCACGUGUGGGUUUUUGUCUGGUCCCUUGCAAGAUGUUCCCGACUCUCUUCACGUAUAGCCUUCCUUCUUUCUCAUAUAGUUACAUGUUCCAUCAAGUGUACCAAUCCAUUUGUAUGUACCAUUUUGAAUCUAAAAAUGUGAAAUGUAUGAAUUGGUUUGCUAAAUUGGUUUGAUUCAAUUUCAAAUCAGAAUCUUUUUUUUUCAAAGUGUAUUUUUGUUUAAGGUAUAUUAGCUACAGAAUAAAUACUAAUUUAUGUCACAAGCUGUGAUUGUAAUUUAUGUGAGUUUUCUAUAGUUAAAACCUUUACAUGAAUUUCUUUGAAAAGUUCCAAGUUGUGAGACUAAAAUCCUAUUUUUGACAUUAUUAGGUAGAUUUUUUUUAACGGGACUUGUAUUUUUGAUUCACUUAGGUGGUUGGUGAGUAAUGAGUGAAACUUUGAUAAACUGUUACAUUCAUUUUGGCAAUUUGAAAAAUAUUACUGUUUUAUUCAGUUUUGUUUUUAAAAGGAAAUUAUGCAUUUUAAGUUUGUAUUUGAAGUAUUACUUUGCUAAAAUAAUGCAAUUUCUCAUGUAUACUUGGUUUCAAACAUAUAUCUCAUUUCAUAUCUCUUGUUAAACUUGUCACAUAUCUUCUGUAUUUUUGAUUCAGAUUUGAAUUUAUGGAUAAUUAUUUAAAGUUAGAAUCUACUUUAAUUUUUUUAAGAAGGCAGCUUAGUAAGUUUAUUAAUGCUCAAUAAUGCUUUACAUUUUAUUUGAAACUUCAUAUAAGCUCCAAGGUUAUGUGUAAAGAAUGUUUUAAGAAAGUUUCACACUUCAUUAUGGAUAGUAAAAUCAGAAAAUAUGUGAGAAACUCUAGCUGAAUUUAUUUUUGUAUUCUAUCAAUUCUGUUUCAGCACAAAACUGUGAUUGUUUAAUGUCCAUUAGCAAUAUUUUUAAGCUGGUACUAAACAUGUUUGGAAACAUUCUACUAAUAUAUUACACAUGAAUGUAAUUUCACUUCACAGUACAAGAUAAUUAACAAUAUGGAUGUGCAUGAAUUUACUUUUCGUUCGCAUUAACUUUUUGUUUUUCCCAAUAUUUUUUAAAAUUUGGCCAUAUAUGAAAGACAUUUUUUAUUCCUGUAUUUGUCUUAACAAGGGUCCAUUUGGACUAUCUGGGCUAACCCAUUUUCUACUUCAAGCCACACGUAGAAACCACUUUUCUUGUAUCAAACUCUAAAAUACUCGUACAAUCCCCCCUUAAUAUCCUUUAACACAUUGACUGCUGACUACUACUCAUAGUCCCAGGUGUACCAAAUUCUGCCAAUAUUAUAUAGAAAACAGAAUAAUGUUGACAUCCCAGAUAACACAACAAACAAUCUGAUGGCAGUUUGGGGAACAUAUACAUGUAUCUAUGUAAUGAUCAUGAUCAAAUAUAUAUUAUAUCAUUAUUUGCACUACUGAAAUCCACUAAAGUGUGCAAACACAGUAUCCCCACAAAGCUAAGACUAAAGAAGAGAUGGUUACAAAGUGAAAAUAUAUUAUUAUAACUGAAAUAGUGUUAUUCUACAUGAUCCAUGGUGUUGUUUGAUCAGGUCUGAAUCAAUAAGCAAUUGAUAAUCAAUAAACAUUUUUAAAAUAUUGA
rnacentral:lncRNA from 1 species